rnacentral:rRNA from 1 species
UACGGAGGGGGCUAGCGUUGUUCGGAAUUACUGGGCGUAAAGCGCGUGUAGGCUGCAAUGUAAGUCGGAUGUGAAAGCCCUCAGCUUAACUGAGGAAGUGCAUCUGAUACUGCAUCGCUUGAGUGUCGGAGGGGAUGGCGGAAUUCCCGGUGUAGAGGUGAAAUUCGUAGAUAUCGGGAGGAACACCGGAUGGCGAAGGCAAUCCCCUGGACCUGUACUGACGCUCAUGCACGAAAGCGUGGGGAGCAAACAGG